GCAUAUCAAUAAGCGGAGGAAAAGAAACCAACAGGGAUUGCCCCAGUAACGGCGAGUGAAGCGGCAACAGCUCAAAUUUGAAAUCUGGUCCCCCCGCGGGGCCCGAGUUGUAAUUUGAAGAGGAUGCUUCUGGCAAGGUGCCGUCCGAGUUCCCUGGAACGGGACGCCGCAGAGGGUGAGAGCCCCGUACGGUCGGACGCCGAGCCUCUGUGAAGCUCCUUCGACGAGUCGAGUAGUUUGGGAAUGCUGCUCAAAAUGGGAGGUAAACCCCUUCUAAAGCUAAAUACCGGCCAGAGACCGAUAGCGCACAAGUAGAGUGAUCGAAAGAUGAAAAGCACUUUGAAAAGAGAGUUAAAAAGCACGUGAAAUUGUUGAAAGGGAAGCGCUUGCGACCAGACUCGCGCCCGUCGGAUCAGCCGUCGCUCGUCGGCGGCGCACUCCGGCGGGCUCGGGCCAGCAUCAGUUCGCCUCGGGGGGAGAAAGGCGGCGGGAAUGUGGCUCUACGGAGUGUUAUAGCCCGCCGCGUAAUACCCCCGGGCGGACUGAGGACCGCGCGUAUGCAAGGAUGCUGGCGUAAUGGUCGUCAGCGACCCGUCUUGAAACACGGACCAAGGAGUCGUCCUAAUAUGCGAGUGUACGGGUGUCAAACCCCUGCGCGUAAUGAAAGUGAACGGAGGUGAGAGCUUCGGCGCAUCAUCGACCGAUCCUGAUGUUCUCGGAUGGAUUUGAGUAAGAGCAUAUUGGGCCGGACCCGAAAGAAGGUGAACUAUGCCUGUGUAGGGUAAAGCCAGAGGAAACUCUGGUGGAGGCUCGCAGCGGUUCUGACGUGCAAAUCGAUCGUCAAACAUGGGCAUGGGGGCGAAAGACUAAUCGAACCUUCUAGUAGCUGGUUUCCGCCGA
rnacentral:rRNA from 1 species